rnacentral:rRNA from 1 species
AGAGUUUGAUCCUGGCUCAGGACGAACGCUGGCGGCGUGCUUAAUACAUGCAAGUCGAACGGAAAGGCCCUUCGGGGUACUCGAGUGGCGAACGGGUGAGUAACACGUGAGCAACCUGCCCCUAACUCUGGGAUAGCUCCGGGAAACCGGGAUUAAUACCGGAUAUGACCUCGGCCGACAUCUGCUGAGGUGGAAAGAAU